rnacentral:rRNA from 1 species
AACGAACGCUGGCGGCAUGCCUAACACAUGCAAGUCGAACGAGACCUUCGGGUCUAGUGGCGCACGGGUGCGUAACGCGUGGGAACCUGCCCUUAGGUUCGGAAUAACUCCCCGAAAGGGGUGCUAAUACCGGAUAAUGUCUUCGGACCAAAGAUUUAUCGCCUUUGGAUGUGCCCGCGUUGGAUUAGCUAGUUGUUAGGGUAAAAGCCUACCAAGGCGACGAUGCAUAGCUGGUUUGAGAGAAUGAUCAGCCACACUGGGACUGAGACACGGCCCAGACUCCUACGGGAUGCAGCAGUGGGUAAUAUUGGACAAUGGGCGAAAUCCUGAUCCAGCAAUGCCGCGUGAGUGAUGAAGGCCUUAGAGUUGUAAAGCUCUUUUACCCGGGAUGAUAAUGACAGUACCGAAAGAAUAAGCUCCGGCUAACUCCGUG